UACGUAGGGGGCGAGCGUUGUCCGGAAUCAUUGGGCGUAAAGAGCGUGUAGGCGGCCAGAUAAGUCCGCUGUGAAAACUCGAGGCUCAACUUCGAGCUGUCGGUGGAAACUAUUUGGCUAGAGUCCGGAAGAGGAGAGUGGAAUUCCUGGUGUAGCGGUGAAAUGCGCAGAUAUCAGGAAGAACACCCGUGGCGAAGGCGGCUCUCUGGUACGGAACUGACGCUGAGACGCGAAAGCGUGGGGAGCGAACAGG
rnacentral:rRNA from 1 species